AAGCCAAGUGGCACAACCAAAAAAAAAAAAGAAAAAGAAAAGAAAAAAAAAAGAAAGAGAAAAGAAGAAAGAAGAAAAGGCUAGAAGAGAGAGAGAAACUCAUUUCUUUUCCUCCAUUUUCUCCUCCUUCCUCUGCCGAGAACCACAAAAAAAAUUUACAUUCUUCAUCUUUUCUCUUCUAUACCAAAAUUGCUUCAAAAUUUCACCUCCAAUUAAUUUCCCAUCUUCUCCCAACACCUUUCCAAAGAAGAAUUUGAAAAAAAGAAGGGAAAUCAAAGAGAAAUUUCAAGGGUGAGAGGGGAGUGAAUAGUAACCAAGGGUUUGGAAAUUUGAAAGAAGUGGAAAGGAAAAGUGGAAGUUCCAAAGGGAAAGAAAAGGAAGAGUAGAGAAGUAAAAAUUGUAGAAUAUUUUGGAAAUUCUAAGGUUUGUGCUCAACCCCAUUUGAAUCAAUUCAAGAAUUUGUUAAUUAGGUUUUAUUUGAAAUUUUACUAUCCUAGUAGAAGUAGACCAAGUGAAUAAUAGAUUAAUUAUAUUUGUAUAAUAAAAGUUUGAGAAAUAAUAGAUUUAAUAGAUAGAAAAUUCUAAAAUUUAUAUGUAAUUUAACUAAAAUUUAAUUUAUGGAUAUAAUGAAAUGACUCUAUGUUCUUUGAGAGAAAAAUAAUGUGGGUGGAUAUAGUGACAAUAAAAAAAAAAAAGAAAUUAAAGUGAUAAGAAAAGUUAGAUAUAGUGUAAAUAUGAUGUUUACAAUAGAAGAUAAA